AUUGAACGCUGGCGGCAGGCCUAACACAUGCAAGUCGAACGGUAACAGGAAGAAGCUUGCUUCUUUGCUGACGAGUGGCGGACGGGUGAGUAAUGUCUGGGAAACUGCCUGAUGGAGGGGGAUAACUACUGGAAACGGUAGCUAAUACCGCAUAACGUCGCCAGACCAAAGAGGGGGACCUUCGGGCCUCUUGCCAUCGGAUGUGCCCAGAUGGGAUUAGCUAGUAGGUGGGGUAACGGCUCACCUAGUCGACGAUCCCUAGCUGGUCUGAGAGGAUGACCAGCCACACUGGAACUGAGACACGGUCCAGACGCCUACGGGAGGCAGCAGUGGGGAAUAGUGCGCAAUGGGCGCAAGCCUGAUGCAGCCAUGCCGCGUGUAUGAAGAAGGCCUUCGGGUUGUAAAGUACGUUCAGCGGGGAGGAAGGGAGUAAAGUUAAUACCUUUGCUCAUUGACGUUACCCGCAGAAGAAGCACCGGCUAACUCCGUG
rnacentral:rRNA from 1 species